GAACGCGAAGAACCUUACCUGGGCUUGACAUACAGGUGGUAGGGAUCCGAAAGGUGACCGACCCCUCGGGGAGCCUGUACAGGUGUUGCAUGGCUGUCGUCAGCUCGUGUCGUGAGAUGUCCGGUUAAGUCCGGUAACGAGCGCAACCCUUGCCGUAUGUUACAAGUGUCAUACGGGACUGCCGAUAUAAAGUCGGAGGAAGGUGGGGAUGAAGUCAAGUCAGCAUGACCUUUAUGUCCAGGGCUACACACACGCUACAAUGGCCGGUACAACAGGUUGCAAAACCGCGAGGUGGAGCCAAUCCCUAAAGCCGGUCUCAGUUCGGAUUGUAGGCUGCAACUCGCCUACAUGAAGUCGGAGUUGCUAGUAACCGCGCGUCAGCAUAGUGCGGUGAAUACGUUCCCGGGUCUUGUACACACG
rnacentral:rRNA from 1 species